ensembl:lncRNA
UUACUGUGUGGGAGAAGGCUGCACAGUAACAAGCAAACUCUAAGAGGAGCAACCGUCUCCGGAACAACAAGAAGAAGAAGGGAGGAGGAGAGAAAACAUGGACACAUGGCUCUCUUUGGGAGGAAAUAAAGAAAUCCACUCAAAAUUGGACGGGUGCCACUGCUUCCAGCGUUCCGACAUCAACCUCCCGGGGGUUUCGGCGUGGCCAUGGAUUUGUCCCUGGCUUAGAAAGGCUGCGAGUGCCCCAUGCUGGGAAUACUACAUCCUGAAGAAGCUUCACUUCCGAUGAUGAGGCCAACAAACUGCUUACAAACGCUAAUAUCCAACAACAACACGGCACACGAGGCCUCCAGUGGCGUAACCGGAAAACCCAUCCGAGCCUCACCCCGGUGCACCGCUCCAAACUCCAAACGCUCAUCAUGCAAAUGCGCAGCCUGAGGCGAUGCAAAGGCAAAACAGCCACAGCGCAUCAGACGAUACAAUUCUGCAGAGUGAAGACACUACAAUUAACACCGUACUUAACAACGCUCCUGCAUCCCCCAGCAAAGGAGUGGGGGCUGUGAGAUAACCUUGUGCGGCUUUCAUGUUUGGACACGCUGGUUGGACAUCUAUGUUAUUUGCCCAGGAGGAAAUCAUUUACGUGGCGUCUGUGUGUGAUGAAAAUCGUUGAUGAUAAGGAGACUUAUGGCGAUUUGACAUGCCUCUGCUGUAGCCAGAGAAGGCUUUAUCAGCAUCGUGAACUGGGAUAAACCUGCGCCACUUCAUCAUGCGAGGGAACACCAGGUUCCCAAGUAGCUGGGCAAAUACAUUGAAGAUAACAACGACUGAAAUUAAUUAGGCCAGGAUUAACUGAGGAGAGAUAAUUAAAGUUCAUGGUAAACAAAGAGGGUUUUGUUUGCGGUGCUCACCAAGUGUAAGGUCUUAAAAACGUGCUAAACGCAUCUCAUAGCGAGUCAGCGCGGUUUGUCUUCAUCACCUCUAUUGGUGCAGCACUACAUCAACAGAACGGC